GGCCACGAUCCUGCUCCACUUCCUGCGACGGACUCCGUGCAGCUCCAUCACUCCCUGACAAGCCGCAGUAACAGUCGCAACACUGCUCCACUCCCUGUGACGGAUCCCACGCCCACGCGACUCCAUUACUACCUGACCAGCCACGAUAAAUGGCCACGAUUCGGCUCCACCUCCUGCAAUGGAUACUGCGCAAUUCUCCCAUCCACUGGCAAGUCACGACGACAAACGUCACCCCACUUCAUGCGGCAGACUCCACGUGGUACACC
rnacentral:lncRNA from 1 species